rnacentral:rRNA from 1 species
ACGGAAGGCAGCAGUGGGGAAUAUUGCACAAUGGGCGAAAGCCUGAUGCAGCGACGCCGCGUGAGCGAAGAAGUAUUUCGGUAUGUAAAGCUCUAUCAGCAGGGAAGAUAAUGACGGUACCUGACUAAGAAGCACCGGCUAAAUACGUGCCAGCAGCCGCGGUAAUACGUAUGGUGCAAGCGUUAUCCGGAUUUACUGGGUGUAAAGGGAGCGCAGGCGGUACGGCAAGUCUGAUGUGAAAGCCCGGGGCUCAACCCCGGUACUGCAUUGGAAACUGUCGAACUAGAGUGUCGGAGGGGUGAGUGGAAUUCCUAGUGUAGCGGUGAAAUGCGUAGAUAUUAGGAGGAACACCAGUGGCGAAGGCGGCUCACUGGACGACAACUGACGCUGAGGCUCGAAAGCGUGGGGAGCAAACAGGAUUAGAUACCCUGGUA